GAUGAACGCUGGCGGCGUGCCUAAUACAUGCAAGUCGAGCGAACGGACGAGAAGCUUGCUUCUCUGAUGUUAGCGGCGGACGGGUGAGUAACACGUGGAUAACCUACCUAUAAGACUGGGAUAACUUCGGGAAACCGUAGCUAAUACCGGAUAAUAUUUUGAACCGCAUGGUUCAAAAGUGAAAGACGGUCUUGCUGUCACUUAUAGAUGGAUCCGCGCUGCAUUAGCUAGUUGGUAAGGUAACGGCUUACCAAGGCAACGAUGCAUAGACGAACUGAGAGGGUGAUAGGCCACACUGGAACUGAGACACGGUCCAGACUCCUACGGGAGGCAGCAGUAGGGAAUCUUACGCAAUGGGCGAAAGCAUGACGGAGCAACGCCGCGUGAGUGAUGAAGGUCUUCGGAUCGUAAAGCUCUGUUAUUAGGGAAGAACAUAUGUGUAAGUAACUGUGCACAUCUUGACGGUACCUAAUCAGAAAGCAACGGCUAACUACGUG
rnacentral:rRNA from 1 species